ensembl:misc_RNA Metazoa_SRP Metazoan signal recognition particle RNA
GCUGGGCGUGGUGGCUCACGCCUGUAAUCCCAGCACUUUGGGAGGCCGAGGCGGGAGGAUCACCUGAGGUCAGGAGUUCAAGACCAGCCUGGCCAACAUGGUGAAACCCUGACUCUA